GAUGAACGCUGGCGGCGUGCCUAAUACAUGCAAGUCGAGCGAAUGGAUUAAGAGCUUGCUCUUAUGAAGUUAGCGGCGGACGGGUGAGUAACACGUGAGCAAUCUGCCCUUGACUCUGGGAUAACUGCGGGAAACUGUAGCUAAUACCGGAUACUUUCACUGGAAGGCAUCUUCUGGUGAAGAAAGAAUCUCGGUCAAGGAUGAGCUCGCGGCCUAUCAGCUUGUUGGUGAGGUAACGGCUCACCAAGGCGACGACGGGUAGCCGGCCUGAGAGGGUGACCGGCCACACUGGGACUGAGACACGGCCCAGACUCCUACGGGAGGCAGCAGUGGGGAAUAUUGCACAAUGGGCGCAAGCCUGAUGCAGCAACGCCGCGUGAGGGAUGAAGGCCUUCGGGUUGUAAACCUCUUUUAGCAGGGAAGAAGCGAAAGUGACGGUACCUGCAGAAAAAGCACCGGCUAACUACGUGCCAGCAGCCGCAGUAA
rnacentral:rRNA from 1 species